rnacentral:rRNA from 1 species
UACGUAGGCAGCAAGCGUUGUUCGGAGUUACUGGGCGUAAAGGGCUCGUAGGCGGCCAACUAAGUCAGACGUGAAAUCCCCAGGCUCAACCUGGGAACUGCGUCUGAUACUGGAUGGCUUGAAUCCGGGAGAGGGAUGCAGAAUUCCAGGUGUAGCGGUGAAAUGCGUAGAUAUCUGGAGGAAUACCGGUGGCGAAGGCGGCAUCCUGGACCGGCAUUGACGCUGAGGAGCGAAAGCUAGGGGAGCAAACGGG